GACGAACGCUGGCGGCGCGCCUAACACAUGCAAGUCGAACGAGCGAGAGAGAGCUUGCUUUCUCGAGCGAGUGGCGAACGGGUGAGUAACGCGUGAGGAACCUGCCUCAAAGAGGGGGACAACAGUUGGAAACGACUGCUAAUACCGCAUAAGCCCACGACCCGGCAUCGGGUAGAGGGAAAAGGAGCAAUCCGCUUUGAGAUGGCCUCGCGUCCGAUUAGCUAGUUGGUGAGGUAACGGCCCACCAAGGCGACGAUCGGUAGCCGGACUGAGAGGUUGAACGGCGACACUGGGACUGAGACACGGCCCAGACUCCUACGGGAGGCAGCAGUGGGGAAUAGUGCACAAUGGGGGAAACCCUGAUGCAGCGACGCCGCGUGGAGGAAGAAGGUCUUCGGAUUGUAAACUCCUGUUGUUGAGGAAGAUAAUGACGGUACUCAACAAGGAAGUGACGGCUAACUACGUG
rnacentral:rRNA from 1 species